GAACAGACACUAACCGAAUAACAUAUCACGCUAGAAGUACGUUCAUUUAAAAACGACCUUCCAGGAAGGCUGUGUGUAAUUAGAGACAAAGAGUGGCCACGUUGAAUGCGCGUCUCGAACGAAGAACGCAAUGAGCAUGACCAUGGUAAUGAUUUCGCACUUUUAUG
ensembl:ncRNA F11D5.22 ncRNA